rnacentral:rRNA from 1 species
AUUGAACGCUGGCGGCAGGCUUAACACAUGCAAGUCGAGCGGGGUGAUGGUGCUUGCACUAUCACUUAGCGGCGGACGGGUGAGUAAUGCUUAGGAAUCUGCCUAUUAGUGGGGGACAACAUCUCGAAAGGGAUGCUAAUACCGCAUACGUCCUACGGGAGAAAGCAGGGGAUCACUUGUGACCUUGCGCUAAUAGAUGAGCCUAAGUCGGAUUAGCUAGUUGGUGGGGUAAAGGCCUACCAAGGCGACGAUCUGUAGCGGGUCUGAGAGGAUGCUCCGCCACAAUGGGGAUGGGACACGGCCCAGACUCCCACGGGAGAGAGCUGUGGGGAUUGUUGAUCAAUGGGGGGAACCCUGAUCCAUCCAGGCCGCGUGUGUGAAGAAGGCCUUAUGGUUGUAAAGCACUUUAAGCGAGGAGGAGGCUCUUUUGGUUAAUACCCAAGAUGAGUGGACGUUACUCGCAGAAUAAGCACCGGCUAACUCUGUGCCAGCCGCCGCCGUAA